rnacentral:rRNA from 1 species
UUAGGGUUAACGUCCCGCAACGAGCGCAACCCCCGCUUUAGUUGCUACCAUUCAGUUGAGCACUCUAAAGGGACCGCCGGCGGUUAAGCCGGAGGAAGGUGGGGAUGACGUCAAGUCCUCAUGGCCCUUAUGUCCAGGGCUACACACGUGCUACAAUGGGCGGUACAGAGGGUUGCCAACCCGCGAGGGGGAGCCAAUCCCAGAAAGCCGUCCUCAGUUCAGAUUGGAGUCUGCAACUCGACUCCAUGAAGGUGGAAUCGCUAGUAAUCGCGGAUCAGCAUGCCGCGGUGAAUACGUUCCCGGGCCUU